rnacentral:rRNA from 1 species
GACGAACCGUGCGAACGUUAUUCGGAAUCACUGGGCGUAAAGCGCACGUAGGCGGAUUUGUCAGUCAGGGGUGAAAUCCCGGGGCUCAACCUCGGAACUGCCUUUGAUACAGCAAGUCUUGAGUUCGAGAGAGGUGGGUGGAAUUCCUAGUGUAGAGGUGAAAUUCGUAGAUAUUAGGAAGAACACCGGUGGCGAAGGCGGCCCACUGGCUCGAUACUGACGCUGAGGUGCGAAAGCGUGGGGAGCAAACAGG